rnacentral:tRNA from 1 species
GCCUGGCUAGCUCAGUCAGUAGAGCAUGAGACUCAUAAUCUCAGAGUCGUGGGUUCGUGCCCCACAUUGGGUA